rnacentral:rRNA from 1 species
AGUGAACGCUGGCGGCGUGCUUAACACAUGCAAGUCGAACGAGAACGGAAUAUAGCUUGCUAUAUUUGUCAGCUAAGUGGCGCACGGGUGAGUAAUGUAUAGAUAACCUGCCCUUAAGAAAGGAAUAACAGUUGGAAACGACUGCUAAUGCCCUAUAUGCCUUUAAUACAUAAGUAUGCAAGGGAAACGCUUUAGUGCUUAAGGAUGGGUCUGUAUGGUAUCAGCUUGUUGGUGAGGUAAUGGCUCACCAAGGCUAUGACGCCUAACUGGUUUGAGAGGAUGGUCAGUCACACUGGAACUGAGACACGGUCCAGACUCCUACGGGAGGCAGCAGUGGGGAAUAUUGCACAAUGGACGAAAGUCUGAUGCAGCAACGCCGCGUGGAGGAUGACACAUGUCGGUGCGUAAACUCCUUUUAUAUAGGAAGAUAAUGACGGUACUAUAUGAAUAAGCACCGGCUAACUCCGUGCCAGCCGCCGCGGUAA